UACAGAGGGUGCGAGCGUUGUCCGGAAUCACUGGGCGUAAAGGGCGCGUAGGCGGCUUUUCACGCGUGCGGUGAAAGCCCGGGGCUUAACUCCGGGUCUGCCGUGCGAACGGGGAGGCUUGAGUCUGGUAGAGGUCGAUGGAAUUCCGGGUGUAGCGGUGGAAUGCGUAGAGAUCCGGAAGAACACCGGUGGCGAAGGCGGUCGACUGGGCCAGAACUGACGCUGAGGCGCGACAGCGUGGGGAGCAAACAGG
rnacentral:rRNA from 1 species